GCAUUUUAUCAUGUUGGCCAGGCUGGUCUCAAACUCCUGGUCUCAAGUGAUCCGCCUGCCUUGGCCUCCCAUAGUGCUUGGAUGACAGGUGUGAGCCACUGCACCCAGCCUUGUUCUGUAAUUUUUAUCCAUUUUUUUCUCAAAAUUAGAUUUGAGAAGACCCUUAAUUUUACGAAAAGGAAAUUAAGCUCAUCAGAAAAGAUUAUCGGGCAUUUACAAGCACUGGCUCCCUGGCAUUGUUAGAUUUCACUGCUGAAGGUGGAUUUCUUUAUAUAUUAAUAGCAUGAAAGCCCAGUCCUUUUAAAAGGAACAUGGGAGGUCGGGCGUGGUGGCUCACGCCUGUAAUCCGAGCACUUUGGGAGGCCGAGGUGGGUGGAUCACGAGUCAGGAGUUCGAGACCAGCCUGGCCAACAUAGUGAAACCCCAUCUCUACUAAAAAUACAAAAAUUAGCCGGGUGUGGUAGUGCGCACCUGUAAUCCCAGCUACUCAGGAGGCUGAGGCAGGAGAAUUGCUUCAACUUGGGAGGCAGAGGUUGCAGCGAGCCGAGAUGGCGCCACUGCACUCCAGCCUGGGCAACGAGAGUGAAACUCUAUUUCAAAAAAAAAAAAAAAAAAAAAUUCUUCAUGGCGGAACAAGUGACUGACUUUCGCCUCCACUGUGAUUGUUGCCAGGUGCUGCGGACGGUGGAGACGGCAAGGCGGGCCCCAGUGUCCUGGCUGCGUUCCAGGACUACAUCAAACUGAUGCCGCUGGUUCAGAAGCAAAUCAAAUGAGUGAAGAGCCAAAGAAGGUAAGUUAGCUGGAGCCAGGAGCUGGUGUGCCAGGUGCAGAAAGGACCUCAAGGCCUUGUGGGGCAGGGGUGCGUUCCCAGGGACUCUCAGGGAACUAGCCACAGAAGCCAGACUGCCCAGCCCAGGCCCGAGUACCAUUCCUUUCACCAACAGCCUACCAGGGCCACCGGGAUCCCAGACCAACUCUUGCUGGCCAUGAGCAGGCCCUCCCAGAUGGUCCUGGGGCCUCUCCGGGUCUAGGCACCCUGAUGGCUGCUGUGCCACACAGACCACCUGGGCUGGGGACAGCUCCCUGGAGACGUGAGCUCCCAUCGGCCGGAACCUUGUAAGAGAUUUAAUCAAUUUGGUAGGGACUCCAAGUGUUAGUUCCAGGAUAUAAUGGAGAAAAUCUGGUGCUCUGUCUUUCCUCUUAGUGGGAAAUCCAAGGGGCAAGAGUGGGACAUCUUAGAGAGAGUCUUAUUCAUUCAUCAUUUAGGAAGCCCGAGGGUGGGAGAAUGAAAAAUAAAUUGCAAAGGUGGUAUGAGCUGUGAAUGUAGGAUUUUUUUUUUCUUUUUGACAGGGUCUCAAUCUGCCGCCCAGGCUGGAAUGCAGUGGUGCAAUCAUGGUUUACUGCAACCUCCACUUCCCGGGUUCAAGUGAUCCUCCCACCUCUGCCUCCCAAGUAGCUGGGAUUACAGGUGUGCACUUCCAUGCCUGGCUAAUUUUUGUAUUUUUAGUAGAGAUGGGGUUUCACCAUGUUGGCCAGGCUGGUCU
rnacentral:lncRNA from 1 species